CAGAGCUGUCUCAGGUCAUUACUCUACACAGAGCUGUCUCAGGUCAUUACACAGAGCUGUCUCAGGUCAUUACUCUACACAGAGCUGUCUCAGGUCAUUACUCUACACAGAGCUGUCUCAGGUCAUUACACAGAGCUGUCUCAGGUCAUUACUCUACACAGAGCUGUCUCAGGUCAUUACACAGAGCUGUCUCAGGUCAUUACUCUACACAGAGCUGUCUCAGGUCAUUACACAGAGCUGUCUCAGGUCAUUACUCUACACAGAGCUGUUUCAGGUCAUUACUCUACACAGAGCUGUCUCAGGACAUUACUCUACACAGAGCUGUCUCAGGUCAUUACUCUACACAGAGCUGUCUCAUGUCAUUACACAGAGCUGUCUCAGGUCAUUACACAGAGCUGUCUCAGGUCAUUACACAGAGCUGUCUCAGGUCAUUACACAGAGCUGUCUCAGGUCAUUACACAGAGCUGUCUCAGGUCAUUACACAGAGCUGUCUCAGGUCAUUACUCUACACAGAGCUGUCUCAGGUCAUUACACAGAGCUGUCUCAGGUCAUUACUCUACACAGAGCUGUCUCAGGUCAUUACACAGAGCUGUCUCAGGUCAUUACUCUACACAGAGCUGUCUCAGGUCAUUACACAGAGCUGUCUCAGGUCAUUACACUACACAGAGCUGUCUCAGGUCAUUACUCUACACAGAGCUGUCUCAGGUCAUUACACUACACAGAGCUGUCUCAGGUCAUUACUCUACACAGAGCUGUCUCAGGUCAUUACACUACACAGAGCUGUCUCAGGUCAUUACUCUACACAGAGGUGUCUCAGG